CUGAAGGGGUAGGAGAAUAAGUUAAAAUGAAUCCGUUGGAAAGGAAACUGUUGUAAAGCCAAGACUCAUUAAGGUGUUUAUUUUGCCUGAGGUGGAGGAACGGAAUUCAACCGAGGAACAAACCCUUCAUGAGGUGAACAUGGAGUCGGUUGAGAAGGAAGUAAGCAACAGGUGCUCUAACCACAGAAAAUAACAGCCGCGCCUCGUUUACAGUAGGAGAAGUCAAAGAGUGCCUCGAGGAGUGGAAGAAUGUUUAUGCGGGUGUUACUGCACAGGUGCAGAACCCAUUUUGUGAGGGAACAUGGAUCACCAUAAAGAUCACAAUGUGAUAUAUGUCUUGAAGAUUGAGAGAGUGAAAGCUGAAUCUCAAGAACAAAAGGGCUGAACAAGUCUCGGAGUAAUGCAGAUAACUUGGGAAGACCUUGCAUGGAAAACAACUAAGACUUGGUAUUCUAUAUAGCCUUCCUCAGGAAAUUAAAGGUAAUCAAUAGUAAAUGGCUCCAUAGAGCAAUUCCCCAUCCAAGCACAAUGCAUGAUUGAAGAUCAGAGUCAAUCUCAAAAAGGUGAUCCUAACACUAGGGAUGUCCACAAAUCAAUUUUUUAAAAUUUUUGUUUUGUGUCCAAAUCAAUCACC